rnacentral:snRNA from 1 species
AGCUUUGCGCAGUGGCAGUAUCGUAGCCAAAGAGGUUUAUCCAAGGCACAAUUAUUUUUAAUUGAAAACUUUUCCCAAUACCCCGCCAUGACGACUUGAAAUACAGUCGGCAUUGGCAAUUUUUCACAGUCUCUAUGGAGA